AGAGUUUGAUCCUGGCUCAGAACGAACGCUGGCGGCAUGCCUAAUACAUGCAAGUCGAACGAACACUUCGGUGUUAGUGGCGCACGGGUGCGUAACGCGUGGGAAUCUGCCCUUGGGUUCGGAAUAACAGUUAGAAAUGACUGCUAAUACCGGAUGAUGACGUAAGUCCAAAGAUUUAUCGCCCAAGGAUGAGCCCGCGUAAGAUUAGCUAGUUGGUGAGGUAAAGGCUCACCAAGGCUACGAUCUUUAGCUGGUCUGAGAGGAUGAUCAGCCACACUGGGACUGAGACACGGCCCAGACUCCUACCGGAGGCAGCAGUAGGGAAUAUUGGACAAUGGGGGCAACCCUGAUCCAGCAAUGCCGCGUGAGUGAUGAAGGCCUUAGGGUUGUAAAGCUCUUUUACCCGAGAUGAUAAUGACAGUAUCGGGAGAAUAAGCUCCGGCUAACUCCGUGCCAGCAGCCGCGGUAAUACGGAGGGAGCUAGCGUUGUUCGGAUUUACUGGGCGUAAAGCGCGCGUAGGCGGCGAUUUAAGUCAGAGGUGAAAGCCCGGGGCUCAACCCCGGAAUAGCCUUUGAGACUGGAUUGCUAGAAUCCUGGAGAGGUGAGUGGAAUUCCGAGUGUAGAGGUGAAAUUCGUAGAUAUUCGGAAGAACACCAGUGGCGAAGGCGGCUCACUGGACAGGUAUUGACGCUGAAGUGGCGAAAAGCGUGGGGGAGCAAACAGGAUUAGAUACCCUGGUAGUCCACGCCGUAAACGAUGAUAACUAGCUGUCCGGGCUCAUGGAGUUUGGGUGGCGCAGCUAACGCAUUAAGUUAUCCGCCUG
rnacentral:rRNA from 1 species